AAAGUCGUAACAAGGUUUCCGUAGGUGAACCUGCGGAAGGAUCAUUAAAAGCAUCAAGCUGAUUAAGCUGUUUUUUGAUGAUUCGGAUCGUUGGGCCUGUUCGCAUCGCUCGGGGGUGCCGCCAACGGGCCGAGACAUGGAACGCCACGAAUUUUUUUGUGAAUUUUUUUUGUGAAUUUUUAAAGUGAAACAUGAAAGUGUAAAUGAAAAACUUUUGACAACGGAUCUCUUGGCUCUC
rnacentral:misc_RNA from 1 species